rnacentral:rRNA from 1 species
CACGGGGGGAACGAGCGUUGUUCGGAUUUACUGGGCGUAAAGGGUGCGUAGGCGGGUUGGCAAGUCGGGUGUGAAAUUCCAUGGCUUAACCAUGGAUCUGCAUUCGAAACUGUUGAUCUUGAGUACUGGAGAGGUGAGUGGAAUUCUCGGUGUAGCGGUGAAAUGCGUAGAUAUCGAGAGGAACACCGUUGGCGAAGGCGGCUCACUGGACAGAUACUGACGCUGAGGCACGAAGGUC